GAGUAGGAAGACAAGCGUCAAGUGUCCAACGGACGGGGAGUUGCCGAGGAACGAAGAACCUUGACCGGUUUGCGGUUUGUCUUCCGCAUCCCGCUGU
rnacentral:ncRNA from 1 species